rnacentral:rRNA from 1 species
AGUGAACGCUGGCGGUAGGCCUAACACAUGCCAGUCGAACGGCAGCACAGUAAGAGCUUGCUAUUACGGGUGGCGGGUGGCGGACGGGUGAGGAAUACAUCGGAAUCUACUUUUUCGUGGGGGAUAACGUAGGGAAACUUACGCUAAUACCGCAUACGACCUACGGGUGAAAGCAGGGGAUCUUCGGACCUUGCGCGAUUGAAUGAGCCGAUGUCGGAUUAGCUAGUUGGCGGGGUAAAGGCCCACCAAGGCGACGAUCCGUAGCUGGUCUGAGAGGAUGAUCAGCCACACUGGAACUGAGACACGGUCCAGACUCCUACGGGAGGCAGCAGUGGGGAAUAUUGGACAAUGGGCGCAAGCCUGAUCCAGCCAUACCGCGUGGGUGAAGAAGGCCUUCGGGUUGUAAAGCCCUUUUGUUGGGAAAGAAAAGCAGCAGGUUAAUACCCCGCUGUUCUGACGGUACCCAAAGAAUAAGCACCGGCUAACUUCGUG